AACGAACGCUGGCGGCGCGCCUAACACAUGCAAGUCGAACGAGAAGGCGUAGCAAUACGCUUGUAAAGUGGCGAACGGGUGAGGAAUACGUGGGUAACCUACCCUCGAGUGGGGAAUAACCAACCGAAAGGUUGGCUAAUGCCGUGUACGCUUCCAUCUCUUCGGAGGUGGAAGGAAAGCUGUACCGUGGGUACAGCGCUCAAGGAUGGGCUCACGUCCUAUCAGCUUGUUGGUAGGGUAACGGCCACCAAGGCAACGACGGGUAGCUGGUCUGAGAGGACGAUCAGCCACACUGGCACUGCGACACGGGCCAGACUCCUACGGGAGGCAGCAGUGAGGAAUAUUGCGCAAUGGGCGAAAGCCUGACGCAGCGACGCCGCGUGGGGGAUGAAGGUCUUCGGAUUGUAAACCCCUUUCGGGAGGGAAGAUGGGACGGGCAACCGUUCGGACGGUACCUCCAGAAGCAGCCACGGCUAACUUCGUGCCAGCCGCCGCCGU
rnacentral:rRNA from 1 species